rnacentral:tRNA from 1 species
UCCCUGGUGAUCGAGUGGCCAAGAUUCUGCACUCCCAAUGUGGGGGGCCUGGGUUCAAUCCUGGUCAGAGAA